rnacentral:lncRNA from 1 species
UUGCUGCUCUGUCCACUGAGAAGUGGUGCCUCAGUCCCCUCCCCUUGAGUCUGGGCUGGCCACAGGGACCCACUUGACCAGGAGACUGCAGCAGAGAGACACUGCCGGACUGCCGAGGUGGCCGAGAAGCCUCAGUCUCCACCCCGCUCUCUCUCCAGAUGUUCCCUCUCAGGACGUUCACUCUUGCCACCUGCCCACCACACUUUACAGAGCUGGGAAGUCCGAGGUCCGGUUGCCAUGGAGCUGGCUCCUCCCAAGGGCCUGGAGACAGAAGCUGCUCUGUGCCCCUCCCUGGCGUCUGGUGUUUGCUGCCAUCUUUGCUGUCCCUUGGUUUGUAGACACACAUGACUCCAGCCUCCGCCUUCAUCUUCACAUGGCAUUCUGCUGUGUGUGUCUGUGUCUUUCCCCUUUUUAGAUCUUUUCUGCUCAGAGACCCCUCCCUUUGAAGAGAGAGAGAGAGCUGUUUCUCUUCUGCCUGUUAAACCUCCAUUUCUAAAUUCCUCGUGUAUGUCUGUAUCUGAAAUUUUCCUGGUGCAAGACAAUGAACCCCAAGGUGUGUACCCCAGACAAUGUGUCUGCUUCAUAUGGGGACCUCGUCCAGGAUACCAAGGUGUGACAUUUUGAAACGGAAAAGGCAUUUAUUGAACACAGAUGUGGCCAGUCCACACAGGCUGCUCCGUCCUGUGUGUUUGUUCUCCUUGGCAUUCCCUUGUCUGGUGGACACUUCAUUCUUUUGUAAGUUUUUCCUCUGAGGUUCUCUGUCAUUGGAUUAGUAAACACUUGAUUAACUCCGAGCCAAAAAUAAACAGAAGCAAGAACGUAAAUGAUGCUGCAGAUGAAACCAGGCCUGGUGGUCUCAGAGGGCCAUGGAGCCAGCGCAGUGAUGGCCUGAGGGGCUCAGCUUGCACUCUAGCUGGAGAAUACAGCAUUUCCACGGAUGCCUUGCACAGUCCUCGGGAAAUAUCAGCCUCCAUAGGUGCCUUCAACAAAAACCUGUUCCCUUCACCUGGGAAUUCGUAA